GUUUAAAUCGAGUGUAUGUGUGUAUUUGUGCAUAAAUCAUGGUGAUCAAGAAGAUACAAGGAAAAAAAGAAAAAAACGAGUCCACAUCGAAAGAAAUCGUGAAGAAGGCAAUGUGCGUUUAUGGAAUGAUUAUUUCAGUGAAACUCCAACAUAUCCUCAAAAUCUAUUCCGACGGCGAUUUAGAAUGAACAAGCCAUUGUUCACGCGUAUUGUUAAUCGACUCUCCAAUGAAGUUGAAUUCUUUCGACAAAAGAAUGAUGCUAUCGGAAGGUCUAGUCUCUCUCCACUUCAAAAGUGUACAACAGUCAUUCGUGUCUUGGCAUAUGGUACUGCGGCUGAUGAUGUUGACGAAUACCUCCGACUCGGUGAAACUACUACUCGGUCAUGUGUGGAACAUUUUGUGGAAGGAAUAAUUUAUUUAUUCGGCGAUGAGUCCCUAAGAAGACCAACACCGGCUGAUCUUCAACGUCUACUUCAAGUUGGUGAGUUCCGUAGAUUUCCCGGGAUGAUAGGAAGCAUCGAUUGUAUGCAUUGGGAGUGGAAGAAUUGUCCGACCGCUUGGAAAGGGCAAUAUACACGUGGUUCGAGAAAACCCACAAUUGUUUUAGAGGUGACCGGAAGUUCACAUGUCGAUCUCGAUUAUUCUACGGAUAUGCCUACAAAUAUCGCCAAUAUGUUGGGUGGUCGAACCAGAAUUCGUGAUAGACAAAUGCAUCAACAACUCAAAGCUGAUUUGGUUGAACAUUUAUGGAGUAAAUUUGGACAUGAUAAAAACAACAACUGAGUUCGGAAUGUUUCUUUCAAAUUAUUCUCGUUCAUUUUAGUAAUUCUGUUUUUUUUAAUUAUAAAAUGUAUGUUUAAAAUGUUCUAUUUUAUUAAGUUUUAUUUAAUAAAUAAAUUUUAUCUUU